UGCCAGCCGCCGCGGUAAUACGGAGGAGGUUAGCGUUGUUCGGAUUUACUGGGCGUAAAGAGCAUGUAGGCGGAUUGGACAGUUGGAGGUGAAAUCCCGGAGCUCAACUCCGGAACUGCCUUCAAUACUUCCAGUCUAGAAUCUGUAAGGGGGUGGUGGAAUUCCGAGUGUAGAGGUGAAAUUCGUAGAUAUUCGGAAGAACACCAGUGGCGAAGGCGACUCACUGGCACAUUUCUGACGCUGAGGCGCGAAAGCGUGGGGAGCAAACAGGAUUAGAUA
rnacentral:rRNA from 1 species